rnacentral:rRNA from 1 species
AAUGGACGCUAGCGGCAGGCCUAAUACAUGCAAGUCGAACGGUGUCUUCGGACAUAGUGGCGCACGGGUGCGUAACACGUAUGCAACCUACCUUACAUUGGGGGAUAGCCUUUCGAAAGGGAGAUUAAUACCGCAUAAGACAGUAGCUGGGCAUCCAGCAGCUGUUAAAGAUUUAUCGAUGUAAGCUGGGCAUGCGUCCAAUUAGCUAGUUGGUGAGGUAACGGCUCACCAAGGCAAUGAUUGGUAGGGGAACUGAGAGGUCAAUCCCCCACACUGGCACUGAGAUACGGGCCAGACUCCUACGGGAGGCAGCAGUAGGGAAUAUUGGGCAAUGGACGCAAGUCUGACCCAGCCAUGCCGCGUGCAGGAUGAAGGCGUUAUGCGUUGUAAACUGCUUUUAUACAGGAAGAAACGACUCUUGCGAGAGGCAUUGACGGUACUGUAUGAAUAAGCACCGGCUAACUCCGUGCCAGCCGCCGCCGUAAGAC